CCUACGGGAGGCAGCAGUGGGGAAUAUUGGACAAUGGGGGAAACCCUGAUCCAGCGACGCCGCGUGAGUGAAGAAGUAUUUCGGUACGUAAAGCUCUAUCAGCAGGGAAGAAAAUGACGGUACCUGACUAAGAAGCCCCGGCUAACUACGUGCCAGCAGCCGCGGUAAUACGUAGGGGGCAAGCGUUAGCCGGAUUUACUGGGGGUAAAGGGAGCGUAGACGGCAGCGCAAGUCUGGAGGGAAAUGCCGGGGCUCAACCCCCGAACUGCUCUGGAAACUGUGAAGCUGGAGUGCAGGAGAGGUAAGCGGAAUUCCUGGUGUAGCGGUGAAAUGCGUAGAUAUCAGGAGGAACACCGGCGGCGAAGGCGGCUUACUGGACUGUAACUGACGUUGAGGCUCGAAAGCGUGGGGAGCAAACAGGAUUAGAUACCCCUGUAGUC
rnacentral:rRNA from 1 species